rnacentral:rRNA from 1 species
UGUAGUCAUAUGCUUGUCUCAAAGAUUAAGCCAUGCAUGUCUAAGUAUAAGCAAUUAUACAGCGAAACUGCGAAUGGCUCAUUAUAUAAGUUAUCGUUUAUUUGAUAGUACCUUACUACUUGGAUAACCGUGGUAAUUCUAGAGCUAAUACAUGCUAAAAAUCCCGACUUCGGAAGGGAUGUAUUUAUUAGAUUAAAAACCAAUGCCCUCUGGGCUCCUUGGUGAUUCAUGAUAACUUCUCGAAUCGCAUGGCCUUGUGCCGGCGAUGGUUCAUUCAAAUUUCUUCCCUAUCAACUUUCGAUGUUUGGGUAGUGGCCAAACAUGGUUGCAACGGGUAACGGGGAAUGGGGCGGGGGCGGCGGGCCGGGCGCGGGGCGCGGCGGGCGGCAC